GACGAACGCUGGCGGCGUGCCUAACACAUGCAAGUCGAACGGAGUUAAGAGAGCUUGCUUUCUUAACUUAGUGGCGAACGGGUGAGUAACGCGUGAGAAACCUGCCUUUCAGUGGGGGACAACAGUUGGAAACGACUGCUAAUACCGCAUAACACUUUAGUACCGCAUGGUACAGAAGUCAAAGCUUAAUGUGCUGAAAGAUGGUCUCGCGUCUGAUUAGCUAGAUGGCGGGUAACGGCCCACCAUGGCGACGAUCAGUAGCCGGUCUGAGAGGAUGAACGGCCACAUUGGGACUGAGAUACGGCCCAGACUCCUACGGGAGGCAGCAGUGGGGAAUAUUGGGCAAUGGGGGAAACCCUGACCCAGCAACGCCGCGUGAAGG
rnacentral:rRNA from 1 species